rnacentral:misc_RNA from 1 species
CCCAUCUACUCCUUCGGGAUUGCGGGGGGCGGAUGAUGGCCUCCCGUGCGCCUCGCCGCGCGGUUGGCAUAAAUGCCAAGUCCUCGGCGACGCACGCCACGACAAUCGGUGGUUGCGAAACCUCGGUUGCCCGUCGUGUGCGGUCGUCGCGCAUCGAGGGCUCG